AAGGUAGCAUAAUAAUUUGCCUCUUAAUUAGAGGCUAGUAUGAAUGGAGACACGAGAGUGUAGCUGUCUCGUAGCAAACUAUAAAAACUAAACCUCAAGUGAAGAUGCUUGAAUUAUACUAAAGGACAAAAAGACCCUGUUGAGCUUUACCUACAAUAAAUAAAUAAUUUACUAAGGUUUAGUUGGGGCGACUGAGGAAGAAAAAAAUCUUCUUUAACCUACAGACCAAUACGUCUCAUCAAAGAUCUACAACAGUAAUCUAUAGAAUAGCUACCACAGGGAUAACAGACCAAUUCUCUUUAAGAGCUCAAAUUGACAAGAGAGUUUGGCACCUCGAUGUUGGCUUAAAAUUUCCCCUUGGUGCAGCAGCCUGGAUAGGUGGGUUUGUUCAACCCUUAAAAUUUUACGUGAUCUGAGUUCAGACCGG
rnacentral:rRNA from 1 species